UACGGAGGGUGCCAGCGUUAAUCGGAAUUACUGGGCGUAGAGCGCGCGUAGGCGGUUCGAGAAGUCAGAUGUGAAAUCCCCGGGCUCAACCUGGGGAUGGCAUUUGAUACUGUCAGACUGGAGUGUGGUAGAGGGAAGUGGAAUUCCGCAUGUAGCGAUGAAAUGCGUAGAUAUGCGGAGGAACACCAGUGGCGAAAGUGGCGUCCUUGCCCAACACCGACGCUGAGGUGCGAAAGCGUGGGGAGCAAACAGG
rnacentral:rRNA from 1 species